rnacentral:rRNA from 1 species
UACGGGGGGAGCAAGGCGUUGUUCGGAUUUACUGGGCGUAAAGGGCGCGUAGGCGGUCAGCACAAGUCAGUUGUGAAAUCUCCGGGCUUAACUCGGAAAGGUCAACUGAUACUGUGCGACUAGAGUGCAGAAGGGGCAACUGGAAUUCGUCGGUGUAGCGGUGAAAUGCGUAGAUAUCGAGAGGAACACCUGCGGCGAAGGCGGGUUGCUGGGCUGACACUGACGCUGAUGCGCGAAAGCCAGGGGAGCGAACGGG